UCAACGCACUGAAGAGACACCACAUCGACCUCUUCAUCAGUGACUUCUCUCUCUAAUAAUACAGUAUGUAUCUGUCUGCAACAACAAUGUCUGCAUUGCUAACAUGUAUUCUUUUUUCAGAUUCUUCCAAUUCCACCAUCAACGCACUGAAGAGACACCACAUUGACCUCUUUGUCAGGGACUUAACUCUCCAAUAAUACAAUUCUUCCAAUUCCACCAUCAACGCACUGAAGAGACACCACAUCGACCUCUUUGUCAGGGACUUUUCUCUCUAAUAAUACAAUUCUUUCAAUUCCACCAUCAACACACCGAAUAGACACCACAUCGACCUCUUCAUUAGGGACUUCUCUCUAUAAUAAUACAAUUCUUCCAAUUCCACCAUCAACGCACC